GAUGAACGCUGGCGGCGUGCCUAACACAUGCAAGUCGAGCGAUGAAACCGCCUCCGGGCGGACAUGAAGCGGCGAACGGGUGAGUAACACGUGACCGACCUGCCCCCCGCCCAGGGACAGCCCCCCGAAAGGGGGAUUAAUACCGGGUACUCCGGCAAGGACGCAUGUCCUGGCCGGGAAAGCCUUGGCGGCGGGGGAUGGGGUCGCGGCCCAUCAGGUAGACGGCGGGGCAGAGGCCCACCGUGCCGACGACAGGUAGCCGGGUUGAGAGACCGACCGGCCACAUUGGGACUGAGAUACGGCCCAGACUCCUACGGGAGGCAGCAGUGGGGAAUUUUGCGCAAUGGGGGCAACCCUGACGCAGCAACGCCGCGUGCGGGACGAGGGCGUCCGCGUCGUAAACCGCUUUCAGCGGGGAACACUUCAACGAGGGUACCCGCAGAAGAAGCCCCGGCUAAAUACGUGCCAGCCGCCGCCGUAACAC
rnacentral:rRNA from 1 species